rfam:Chlorocebus sabaeus isolate 1994-021 chromosome 26, whole genome shotgun sequence.
GCCGGGCGCGGUGGCUCAAGCCUGUAAUCCCAGCACUUUGGGAGGCCGAGACGGGCGGAUCACGAGGUCAGGAGAUCGAGACCAUCCUGGCUAACACGGUGAAACCCCGUCUCUAGUAAAAAAUACAAAAANNNNNNNNNNUUUUUGUAUUUUUUACUAGAGACGGGGUUUCACCGGGUUAGCCAGGAUGGUCUUGAUCUCCUGACCUCGUGAUCCGCCCGUCUCGG